rnacentral:rRNA from 1 species
UACGAAGGGUGCAAGCGUUACUCGGAAUUACUGGGCGUAAAGCGUGCGUAGGCGGUUUGUUAAGUCUGUCGUGAAAGCCCCGGGCUCAACCUGGGAAUGGCGAUGGAUACUGGCGAGCUAGAGUACGGUAGAGGAGAGUGGAAUUCCCGGUGUAGCAGUGAAAUGCGUAGAGAUCGGGAGGAACAUCAGUUGCGAAGGCGGCGAUCUGGGAAGUUACUGACGCUGAGGUGCGAAAGCGUGGGGAGCAAACAGG